GAUAUACACACAAAUGCAGUAUCACUGAUACUAUUUUAGUAUUUAUAAAAUAAGUAAGUAAGUAAGGCGUUCAAUGUAAGGUGUAAAAGCAAUUUCUUUCACCAAAGACCUUGGAAACCUUUAUAAGGUUUAUAUGGUGAGGAACCUAUGGCACUUGGAGAAAUUUGAGUUGAGACUUCAUCACAAUAAGUAGCCAAAAUAGGCGAAUGUUACACUAUUGUUUCAAUCCAACAUAAAACACAAAUGACUGUGAUUAGCCGAUUUCACAAGAUGUUGACAACAUUUCACUGUGUAAUGUUUAUAGACAGCACAUGACUGAGACCAUUUAGUUUCUAGCUUCUGUGCAAGCACUUAAUAGCCUGGCCACGCCCACCUAGAAUCUCCUUUCAGUGAGAUACUGACUAGUCUGGCAGACGACAAUUCGCUAGUGCUUCCCUUGGCCACAAAUUGUGACGGGCCAAUCAGCAACGUGAGUAGCGAGCAGCCUAUGGUAACCUAAUUAAAUGCUCAGCGGGCCGGAUUAAAGUGCGUGGCGGGCCGUAGUUUUCACCGCUGGACUAGAUCAAUGAUUUCAAAAUGAAGGCAAAGUCUCUGCGCCCGUUACAAUGCUUUAGAUGGAAAUGUUUCCCAGUCAUUAGAGGCCAGACUCUUUUCACAAAGUGAAUAAGUCUGGUUUUACCAGUCUUAAUACAUCUAAAUACAAACACAACACUUUAAACUCACUGCAGUGUAAACAUCAGUAAAGACAUAAUGAUUUAUUUUUAUGCAUACACAUUAGGAUGGACAAUUAAUCGAAUUAAUCAUGAUUAUGACUUACAACGAUUAUGAAAACAACAUAGUUUCAUAACAAUGCUCUCCCUUGAGUGUGGUGUGCAUUAUCUUUCUGCAUGUAUAUUUUUCGGUUGGAUUGUAUUUAAAAUUCAAUUUAAAAGUGUAAAAUGUUUUGAAAAUGGAUAAGUUCCAAAAUCACUGAGUAAUCGUGUUUAAUAAUCGUGACCUUAAAAUUGAACAACAUAAUCGUGAUAAUGAUUUCUGCCAUAAUCGAGCAGCCCUAAUACACAUAGACUUACACACUCAGUUGUGUGUUUAGGAGGCAUGCUUUUCUCUUUUCUCAAGUGAUCACAUGA